rnacentral:rRNA from 1 species
UACGUAUGUCCCGAGCGUUAUCCGGAUUUAUUGGGCGUAAAGCGAGCGCAGACGGUUGAUUAAGUCUGAUGUGAAAGCCCGGAGCUCAACUCCGGAAAGGCAUUGGAAACUGGUCAACUUGAGUGCAGUAGAGGUAAGUGGAACUCCAUGUGUAGCGGUGGAAUGCGUAGAUAUAUGGAAGAACACCAGCGGCGAAGGCGGCUUACUGGACUGUAACUGACGUUGAGGCUCGAAAGUGUGGGUAGCAAAC